rnacentral:lncRNA from 1 species
AAAAAAGCUUACAAAACUAUGAAAGCUUUCUAUCAAAUUCUAAAAAUUCUUUACAAAUCUGUUUCCUACACAGCUAGAGAUUUCUGCUGAUCAUCUCAAGCAAACAGGUGAAAGUCCAGAGGAGAUGCUCACAAGCUUAGUUAGAAGUUUGAAAGACUUGAGCUUUAAGAAGGGGAAGAACAAAUAAAAUCUGGGUCUGGCAGGGUGAAAACUGGGCAGGGAUGUGAGAACAGCCUCCUAAAAUGCAAAAAAAAACCACUAGAAAGGGAUUAGUGAUCACUUAUUCUCAGGUCUACCAAGGGUGUUUUUUUCCAGUAAUUGGUUUAAUUUGCAUCAGGAGAGAUUCGGGGUGGAUUUUGAUAUUGCAAGGAGAUUUUCCUUGUGCCACAUGAUGGUGCCUGGGAUGGAGGUGCAGUGCCAGGGGCUCUGGGGGGGCCCUGCACGCUGGGGGGACCCCCCUGUACUGGGGGUGCUGGGGGGACACCCCCGAUGGGCCAGGGCUGGGCAGGGCUGGGUUGGGCAGAGCCGCCCCGGGGCAGGGGCAGGAGGGGAGGCAGAGGGGGCUCCUGUCCCUCCUGUCCCCCUCCCAGCUCCUGCUGCCCCUGCCCUGUGCCAGAGGCUGGAAGCUUUCUGUGAGCUGGGAAUUCAUCUCCAUGAGCUCCACUUGUCCCCUUUGUGCCGCAUCCCUCUCCAGCCUCUCCCCUCCCGUCUCUCCACUCGUGUUUUGCAUCUCCUGCGUCAUCCCCUUUCUGCUGCACCCUCCCGCAUCUUUCAUCUCCCCAUCCCUCCAGCUGUGCUCCUCCUCCUUUCCAGUCUCUCCCUCUUCAUCCCCGCUCUGUCUCACAGCAGCUCUUUAAUUCAGCAGCUCGGCAUUUCCAUUUCAAUCGCGUUCCUGCCUCCAUCCCGGGCAGGAGCGGAGCCAGGGGCUGCCACAGGGACCGUGCUGCUGUCCCCAGCCCGGUGCCACUCCCUGGCAAUGGCAGGGUGUGCCCAGGCUGUCCCCAGGGUAUCCCCAGUGCCAUUCCCAUUCCCUGGCCAUGGCAGACUGUCCCCAGGCUGUCCCCAGGCUGUCCCCAGCCCAGCCCCAUUCCCUGGCUGGAGAUGCAGUGACAGGGAGCAUCCAGUGCUCCCCAGGGACAUCCCCAUGGACUCACCACCAUUCCCAGAGCACCUGCAGGGUACCAC